UGCACCAAAUUUUUUUUUUUAGAUUAUUUAAAUUUUGUGCUUUAUUUGAUUUAAAUGUUAAGUGUGAUGAAUUGUUUUAUUUAAGUGUUGUUAUUUUAUUUAAUUGUUUAUUUGUUUUAUUUGAUUGUUUGUUAUUUUAUUUAAUUGUUAGAAAUGUUUUGGUUAAUUAAUUUAAUAAGUGAUUAAUUGUGUAACAUGUUAUCUUACUAUUAGUGUUACAUUUUAUUUAAGUGUGACAAAUGAGGUAUUUAUGUGAGCUAUGGUGGAAUGCACUAAGGUGCAUGAUAGAUAGUAAUGCACCCUAGUAAUUUAGUGUGUGCUAGUGCAUGGUAGCAUGGUGCACAUGUGUAGAUUUUCUACACAUUUUAGGUUUCCUUAUUUUAGAUUUAAUUGAGUAAUUUAUUUAUAAAAAAAAAGAAGAAAAGAAAAGGGAAAUGAGGAGUGGGCGUGUGACCUAGUGGGAAUGGAAUAUUUCCUUAAAAUGGUAAAAAAAUCAAGACUUGAAGACCAUGAUCAUUUGGGGAUAGGCAUGAUCAUAUCUUAUCCCUUUGUAUCUUUUUGAAAUAAAGAAAAAUCAAGGAAAAUAAAAGAGAAAUGGAAACUUACCUUAAUAUUGUUUGGGGAGACUUUAUGAGAGGAUUUGUGAUAAAGGGGCUAAGAAAGGAGAGAAGAGCCAUUGCUCUUGUGUGUGUGUGUGGCUGCCGUGACCUAGAGAGAGAGAGAGAGAGAGAGUGGCGUGUAGAGAGAGAGAGAGAGAGAGAGGAAGAAAGAAAGAAAGGAAGAAGGAAGAAGAAAGUGAAGAGGAACCCCCCUAGAGCUUGAACAAGGGUGUGGAGUUUGUGGUAUUGAUCUUUUGUGUUCUUGAUUCUACAAUCAAGAGAGGUAGCAAAUAGGAUUUCUCUAUGGCACGCGUGGUGACGUGAGGAGUUCUUCAUCAUGGGGUGUAUGGCGUGGGGCAAUCCUAUGGACGAUAAAACGAUCAACGUAGAACGCCAUUUAAAUUAUGUUUUGUUUUAAGGGACUUUUCCUAAAUUAUCAGUGGGACUCUGUUAUUUAACUUAAUUGGUUUUCUUUGAACUUUGCAUAAAAACCUAUGUUUUAUUUUAAACUUAUGGCGCCAACUUGCAUGAUUUUAAAUAAGUCCCCCUGAGACUUUAAUAAUGGAUGGUAUUCUUUUAUAAGCUA